CGCGGCCUAUCAGCUUGUUGGUGGGGUAAUGGCCUACCCAAGGCGGCGACGGGUAGCCGGCCUGAGAGGGUGGACGGCCACAUUGGGACUGAGAUACGGCCCAGACUCCUACGGGAGGCAGCAGUGGGGAAUAUUGCACAAUGGGCGCAAGCCUGAUGCAGCGACGCCGCGUGGGGGAUGACGGCCUUCGGGUUGUAAACUCCUUUCGCUAGGGACGAAGCUUUUUGUGACGGUACCUAGAUAAGAAGCACCGGCUAACUACGUGCCAGCAGCCGCGGUAAUACGUAGGGUGCGAGCGUUGUCCGGAAUUACUGGGCGUAAAGGGCUCGUAGGUGGUUUGUCGCGUCGUCUGUGAAAUUCCGGGGCUUAACUCCGGGCGUGCAGGCGAUACGGGCAUAACUUGAGUACUGUAGGGGUAACUGGAAUUCCUGGUGUAGCGGUGAAAUGCGCAGAUAUCAGGAGGAACACCGAUGGCGAAGGCAGGUUACUGGGCAGUUACUGACGCUGAGGAGCGAAAGCAUGGGUAGCGAACAGGAUUAGAUACCCUGGUAGUCCAUGCCGUAAACGGUGGGCGCUAGGUGUGAGGGUCUUUUCACGACUUUCGUGCCGUAGCUAACGCAUUAAGCGCCCCGCCUGGGGAGUACGG
rnacentral:rRNA from 1 species